rnacentral:rRNA from 1 species
AAACUUAAAGGAAUUGACGGGGACCCGCACAAGCGGUGGAUGAUGUGGUUUAAUUCGAUGCAACGCGAAAAACCUUACCCACCUUUGACAUGGCAGGAAGUUUCCAGAGAUGGAUUCGUGCCCGAAAGGGAACCUGCACACAGGUGCUGCAUGGCUGUCGUCAGCUCGUGUCGUGAGAUGUUGGGUUAAGUCCCGCAACGAGCGCAACCCUUGCCAUUAGUUGCUACGAAAGGGCACUCUAAUGGGACUGCCGGUGACAAACCGGAGGAAGGUGGGGAUGACGUCAAGUCCUCAUGGCCCUUAUAGGUGGGGCUACACACGUCAUACAAUGGCUGGUACAGAGGGUUGCCAACCCGCGAGGGGGAGCUAAUCCCAUAAAGCCAGUCGUAGUCCGGAUCGCAGUCUGCAACUCGACUGCGUGAAGUCGGAAUCGCUAGUAAUCGCGGAUCAGAAUGUCGCGGUGAAUACGUUCCCGGGUCUUGUACACACCGCCCGUCACACCAUGGGAGCGGGUUCUGCCAGAAGUAGGUAGCCUAACCGUAAGGAGGGCGCUUACCACGGCAGGGUUCGUGACUGGGGUGAAGUCGUAACAAGGUAGCCGUAUCGGAAGGUGCGGCUGGAUCACCUCCUUUAUGAG